GUGGCCUACGUGAUCAGCUCUAGCGCACCUUGCAGAAUCAUUAAGAUAUACCCACUUGCAUUCUUGAUUCAGGGUCUGGCAGUUCGAACAUGAUCCAUUGCUUGUCGGUAAAUCGCAACGAAUCUAGCAAAGUUAAAUGUUACCGUCCAUGCAAGGAAUAACGGAGAACAUGCCUUUUUGAUGUGACAAUGCGUACAAGCCUUGGGCCCCUGCUGUUCGCAAGGCGUGCCAUGCAAGUCUCCAUCAUCUAUCUGUCAUGGGGGAUACUGCUCAGUGUCUCUACUUCUCUGUUACUUCGGCGGUCAUUGAAACAGGAGUUGAGUGAGAGCUAAAUAAUGUAGCUCUUGGUCUAUGUGGGGUUGAUUGAGUGGCUGGUCGUGUUUUACAACUUAAAUGCAAGGGCCCAUGAGUUGGUUACUUGGGGAUAUAUGAUUGUUAAUUGAUUGUUGAUAGCUCGACAAUUGAUGUGAGCGUAUAUAUAGUAUCUACCAAAUAUUGAUGUUUUGCAGGGGACAAAGAGGCUUCCCCACUCAACUCAUACUACUGAUCACUGCUGUUUCUUCAUUUAAAAAGGA
rnacentral:sRNA from 2 species